rnacentral:lncRNA from 1 species
UUUUAUAUCUUUAUGUUUGAAGCCUGAAAUGUGCCAAAAGGUCGCAAAGUUCAAGGGGCCGAAUACUUUCGCAAGGCACUGUAUAUCUUACCACAUUAUGGAACACACAGACAUUCAUCUAUCCUACCACAUUAUGGAACACACAGACACACAGCAGGUCAUAUAUCCUACACAUUAUGGAACAGACACACAGCAGGGUCAUAUAUCCUACCACAUUAUGGAACAGACACACAGACAGGUCAUAUAUCCUACCACAUUAUGGAACACACAGCAGGGUCAUAUAUCCUACCACAUUAUGGAACACACAGACAGGUCAAUAUCCUACCACAUAUGGAACAACAGACACACGCAGGUCUAUACCUACACAUUAUGGAACAGACAAC